GUACAGAGGUCUCAAGCGUUGUUCGGAUUCAUUGGGCGUAAAGGGUGUGUAGGUGGCGCCGUAAGUCGGGUGUGAAAUUUCGAGGCUUAACCUCGAAACUGCAUUCGAUACUGCGGUGCUUGAGGACUGGAGAGGAGACUGGAAUUCAUGGUGUAGCAGUGAAAUGCGCAGAUAUCAGGGAGGAACACCAGUGGCGAAGGCGGCUGCCUGGCCCAAUACUGACACUCAGGUGCGACGAGCGUGGGGAGCAAACAGG
rnacentral:rRNA from 1 species